GCAGUGCAAAGGGAGGGGGAAUCCCAUGGACAGGAGGAAUCUCAAGGCUGAACAAGCAGAAGGAAGGACAAAAGUGCUGGACAGAGCAAAAGACCUGGAAAAAAGUGGCUUUGGUAAUACUUAUGACACAACAACACGUUCAACUCAUAGCUGCUGCAUCCCCCAAGGAUGGUUAAGGAAACCUGUCAAUGAGCUAGCAACUGCACUCAUCCCCAGGGGCAAGACAUGCAGCAAUGGCUAUUAUACAACCAGAAAACACUUUUAAUGAGGUUUGAUGGUCUCAGACAGAGCGGGCAGUGAUUCUCUGCAUCCAGCCAACUCACUAAACUCAGUACCUAAGGCAGGUCAAGUUAUUUAGGCCUUAGAAGUAAGUCCUGCAACCAACUGUCUCCACCCAGGCCA